rnacentral:rRNA from 1 species
GAUGAACGCUAGCGGCAGGCCUAACACAUGCAAGUCGAGGGAGAAGCCCUUUCGGGGGCAGAAACCGGCGCACGGGUGCGUAACGCGUAUGCAACCUACCUUUCACAGGGGGAUAGCCCGAAGAAAUUUGGAUUAAUACCCCAUCAUAUUAUUGGAUGGCAUCAUUUGAUAAUUAAAACUGCGGUGGUGAAAGAUGGGCAUGCGUCCUAUUAGCUAGUUGGAGUGGUAACGGCACCCCAAGGCUACGAUAGGUAGGGGUCCUGAGAGGGAGAUCCCCCACACUGGGACUGAGACAGGGACCAGACACCUACGGGAGGCAGCAGUGAGGAAUAUUGGUCAAUGGUCGGAAGACUGAUCCAGCCAUGCCGCGUGCAGGAAGAAUGCCUUAUGGGUUGUAAACUGCUUUUAUAUGGGAAGAAUAAGGCGUACGUGUACGUUGAUGACGGUACCAGAUGAAUAAGCAUCGGCUAACUCCGUG